AACGAACGCUGGCGGCAUGCCUAACACAUGCAAGUCGAACGAGACCUUCGGGUCUAGUGGCGCACGGGUGCGUAACACGUGGGAAUUUGCCUCGGGGUAUGGAAUAACUCAGGGAAACUUGAGCUAAUACCAUAUAAUGUCUUCGGACCAAAGAUUUAUCGCCCUGAGAUAAGCCCGCGUAGGAUUAGCUAGUUGGUGGGGUAAAGGCUCACCAAGGCGACGAUCCUUAGCUGGUCUGAGAGGAUGAUCAGCCACACUGGGACUGAGAC
rnacentral:rRNA from 1 species